rnacentral:rRNA from 1 species
UUGCAUUCCAUAGCGGAGGAAAAGAAACUAACAAGGAUUCCCCUAGUAACGGCGAGCGAAGCGGGAAGAGCUCAAAUUUGAAAGCUGGCACCUCCGGUGUCCGCGUUGUAAUUUCGAGACGUGUUUUCCGCGUGGCGCCAUGGACAAGUUCCCUGGAAUGGGACAUCGUAGAGGGUGAAAAUCCCGUACUUGCCAUGGACGUACCAUGCUUUGCGAUACACGCUCCAAGAGUCGAGUAGUUUGGGAUUGCUGCUCAAAAUGGGUGGUAGACUCCAUCUAAAGCUAAAUAUCGGGGAGAGACCGAUAGCGAACAAGUACCGUGAGGGAAAGAUGAAAAGCACUUUGGAAAGAGAGUUAAAAGUACGUGAAAUUGUCGAAAUGGAAGCGCUUGAAGUCAGCCAUGCGGCUGGGGACUCACCUUGGCGUCUCGCUGAGGGUAUUUCUCCAGUAGCAAGUCAGCAUUGGUUUGCGGCGCCGGAGAAGGGUCCAGGGAAGGUGGCACCCUCGGGUGUGUUAUAGCCCUGGAACUGGAUACGGCGCGGCGGACCAAGGAACGCAGUGUGCCCUCGUGGCGGGUCUUCGGACACCUUCACACUUAGGAUGCUGGCGUAAUGGCUUUAAGCGGCCCGUCUUGAACCCGGGGACCAA